rnacentral:rRNA from 1 species
GAUGUUAGCGGCGGACGGGUGAGUAACACGUGGGUAACCUGCCUGUAAGACUGGGAUAACUCCGGGAAACCGGAGCUAAUACCGGAUAGUUCCUUGAACCGCAUGGUUCAAGGAUGAAAGACGGUUUCGGCUGUCACUUACAGAUGGACCCGCGGCGCAUUAGCUAGUUGGUGGGGUAAUGGCUCACCAAGGCGACGAUGCGUAGCCGACCUGAGAGGGUGAUCGGCCACACUGGGACUGAGACACGGCCCAGACUCCUACGGGAGGCAGCAGUAGGGAAUCUUCCGCAAUGGACGAAAGUCUGACGGAGCAACGCCGCGUGAGUGAUGAAGGUUUUCGGAUCGUAAAGCUCUGUUGUUAGGGAAGAACAAGUGCGAGAGUAACUGCUCGCACCUUGACGGUACCUAACCAGAAAGCCACGGCUAACUACGUGCCAGCAGCCGCGGUAAUACGUAGGUGGCAAGCGUUGUCCGGAAUUAUUGGGCGUAAAGGGCUCGCAGGCGGUUUCUUAAGUCUGAUGUGAAAGCCCCCGGCUCAACCGGGGAGGGUCAUUGGAAACUGGGAAACUUGAGUGCAGAAGAGGAGAGUGGAAUUCCACGUGUAGCGGUGAAAUGCGUAGAGAUGUGGAGGAACACCAGUGGCGAAGGCGACUCUCUGGUCUGUAACUGACGCUGAGGAGCGAAAGCGUGGGGAGCGAACAGGAUUAGAUACCCUGGUAGUCCACGCCGUAAACGAUGAGUGCUAAGUGUUAGGGGGUUUCCGCCCCUUAGUGCUGCAGCUAACGCAUUAAGCACUCCGCCUGGGGAGUACGGUCGCAAGACUGAAACUCAAAGGAAUUGACGGGGGCCCGCACAAGCGGUGGAGCAUGUGGUUUAAUUCGAAGCAACGCGAAGAACCUUACCAGGUCUUGACAUCCUCUGACAACCCUAGAGAUAGGGCUUUCCCUUCGGGGACAGAGUGACAGGUGGUGCAUGGUUGUCGUCAGCUCGUGUCGUGAGAUGUUGGGUUAAGUCCCGCAACGAGCGCAACCCUUGAUCUUAGUUGCCAGCAUUCAGUU